CUGCCGUGUGCUGGGCUCAGGGAAGAAGAGGCUCAACUGGGCCCUGCUCAGACCCUUGAGGGACUUUCGGAGCGAAACAGAGGCUGACCUAACCUGGACAACCUCAUUCCACAUCUUGUGCCAGAAGGAUGUAGAACUCACCCUCUCAGGACCUUCUAGAAACAGCAGAAAGUUAAAAUUGCCAGAGAGAAACUCAGCCUGGAACAGCUGCAGGACACCUCUGAAUCCUGUCCUCCGCCAGUUGGUGCAACCACCACUAGCCUUAGUAGGUUUCUCCCCAGGGGAGGGCCAGGCCCACCAACCUCAGCCUGCCAGAUGGGAACAUGGAGGAGCCUCGUGGCCGCAGACAGGGACCCCCGGAGGUGCUCCAGCCUCCCCAUCCUCAGCCCCAGUUUGGCCAGACAGUAAAGGCUUCCCUGGUGGCUCAGAUGGUAAGGAAUCUGCCUGCUGUGCAGGAGACCCAGGUUUGAACCCUUGGUUGGGAAGAUCCCCUGGAGAAGGGAAUGGCCACCUUCUCCAGUAUUCUUGCCUGGAGAAUCCAAUGCACAGAGGAGCCUGGCGGGCUACAAUUCAUAGGGUCACAAAAAGUUGGACACCACUGAAGUGA
rnacentral:lncRNA from 1 species